rnacentral:lncRNA from 1 species
CUGGUGGACCUGAGUGGGGGGGCGAGUUCUUCUCAUCCUGUCCUGGUGGCUGGUGGCAAACUGGUGGAGCAAGCCAGAGCAAGCAGGUCCCAGUCAGCCUGCAACCGCUUGGCCCCACUCCGCCCCGCUGGCUCAGUUUGGCCCAGCCGUCAGCUGGUGGGCCUGCCCGGGGAGGUCCUCUUCACCCUGUCCUGGUGGCUGGUGAGUUGGGGCUUUCAGAGGUGAUUGGAUCAGGAAGGUUCUAACUUCUCCAGUGGAUGAAUCCCCUGAUGAGACCAGAAUUUGAUGGCAUUACAGGGAAGAAAUGGAAGGUGUGAUAAAAAUACAUAAAUUCUGCUGCCAAGUGCCUGCCAGUGGACAGGCAGGAUCAUAAAAACACUAUGGUGUGUCUUCAUCCCCCAUAGUCACUGGAUCUGGUGCUGUGCCAGUUCUGGCUCUUCCCAAAGUCAAAAUGACCAGGAAAGGUGUUAACAUAGUGUUGCUGGGCUGGGUGUGGUGGCACACACCUGUGAUCUCAGCACUGGACAGGCUGAGAGAAGAAGA